AGAGCCUUAGGAUAAAUAAACCAAGAGCCUUCAAAGCUCUUAACGGAGGUUAAAAUCCUCCAGUCUCUG
rnacentral:tRNA from 1 species